GCGGGCGUAGCUCAGGGGUGGAGCGCCUGCUUCCCAAGCAGGAGGUCGCGGGUUCAAAUCCCGUCGCCCGCU
rnacentral:tRNA from 2 species